UACGAAGGGGGCUAGCGUUGCUCGGAAUCACUGGGCGUAAAGCGUGUGUAGGCGGAUCGUUAAGUACCUUGUGAAAUCCCACGGCUCAACCGUGGAACUGCUGGGUAUACUGGCGGUCUUGAGCCACCUAGGGGCAACUGGAACAAGCGGUGGAGCGGUGAAAUGCGUAGAUAUCGCUUGGAACGCCAACGGUGAAAACAGGUUGCUGGGGGUGUGCUGACGCUGGAGACACGAAAGCCAGGGGAGCGAACGGG
rnacentral:rRNA from 1 species